GUACCGGUCGGCGACGCUACUGCUUUGGGUACUUUCAGGACCCGUCUUGAAACACGGACCAAGGAGUCUAACAUGUGCGCGAGUCAUUGGGUUAUCGUUAAAGUUUUGAUAAGCCUAAAGGCGCAAUGAAAGUGAAGGUUGACCUUAGCGUUGAUCGAGGGAGGAUGGCCCGGGCUCGCUCGGGUUCGCACUCCCGGGGCGUCUCAUCGUCUUUUGACUAGCGGCGCACCCAGAGCGUACACGUUGGGACCCGAAAGAUGGUGAACUAUGCCUGGUCAGGACGAAGUCAGGGGAAACCCUGAUGGAGGUCCGUAGCGAUUCUGACGUGCAAAUCGAUCGUCGGAACUGGGUAUAGGGGCGAAAGACUAAUCGAACCAUCUAGUAGCUGGUUCCCUCCGAAGUUUCCCUCAGGAUAGCUGGCACUCGCUCGAUAGCGAGUCUCAUCUGGUAAAGCGAAUGAUUAGAGGCCUUGGGGCCGAAACGACCUCAACCUAUUCUCAAACUUUAAAUGGGUGAGAUCUCUGGCUUGCUUGAAUGUUGAAGCCACGAGAUCGCGCGCCCCGUUGCGCUCGUCGCUACGGGGUCGCUUCACGGAUCAGAGUGCCAAGUGGGCCAAUUUUGGUAAGCAGAACUGGCGCUGUGGGA
rnacentral:rRNA from 1 species